rnacentral:rRNA from 1 species
AUUGAACGCUGGCGGCAUGCUUUACACAUGCAAGUCGAACGGUAACAGCACUUCGGUGGCUGACGAGUGGCGAACGGGUGAGUAAUACAUCGGAACGUGCCUAGUAGUGGGGGAUAACUACUCGAAAGAGUAGCUAAUACCGCAUGAGAUCUAAGGAUGAAAGCAGGGGACCUUCGGGCCUUGCGCUACUAGAGCGGCUGAUGGCAGAUUAGGUAGUUGGUGGGAUAAAAGCUUACCAAGCCGACGAUCUGUAGCUGGUCUGAGAGGACGACCAGCCACACUGGGACUGAGACACGGCCCAGACUCCUACGGGAGGCAGCAGUGGGGAAUUUUGGACAAUGGGCGCAAGCCUGACCCAGCAAUGCCGCGUGCAGGAUGAAGGCCUUCGGGUUGUAAACUGCUUUUGUACGGAACGAAAAGCCGUCUACGAAUACAGGAGGGUCAUGACGGUACCGAAAGAAUAAGCACCGGCUAACUACGUG